rnacentral:ribozyme from 13 species
ACUCAAGAAAAAAGAACAACUUAAGAAAAAACAAGAAAAAAAGAAAAAAGACGACUCUCUCUCUCCCACCCUUUCCCCUCCGCUUCCCUCCUCCUCCUCUUCCUCCCCUUCUUCUCCCACUCUUU